GAUCUACUCCCUCCGUCCCAUAUUAAGUGUCGAAAUAUUACAUGUAUCUAGAUGCGUUUUAGGUAUAGAUGCAUUCAUAUUUGGGCAAAUUUGAGAGACUUAAUAUGGGACGGAGGUUGUAUCAU
rnacentral:pre_miRNA from 1 species